rnacentral:rRNA from 1 species
AGAGUUUGAUCCUGGCUCAGGACGAACGCUGGCGGCGCGCCUAACACAUGCAAGUCGAACGGACUUAUGGAGCUUGCUCUAUAAGUUAGUGGCGGACGGGUGAGUAACACGUGAGCAACCUGCCUUUCAGAGGGGGACAACAGUUGGAAACGACUGCUAAUACCGCAUAAGACCACGGGAUGGCAUCAUCUUGGGGUCAAAGAUUUAUCGCUGAAAGAUGGGCUCGCGUCCGAUUAGAUAGUUGGUGAGGUAACGGCUCACCAAGUCGACGAUCAGUAGCCGGACUGAGAGGUUGAACGGCCACAUUGGGACUGAGACACGGCCCAGACUCCUACGGGAGGCAGCAGUGGGGGAUAUUGGACAAUGGGGGAAACCCUGAUCCAGCGACGCCGCGUGAGGGAAGAAGGUUUUCGGAUUGUAAACCUCUGUUGACAGGGAAGAAAAUGACGGUACCUGUUUAGAAAGCCACGGCUAACUACGUGCCAGCAGCCGCGGUAAUACGUAGGUGGCAAGCGUUGUCCGGAAUUACUGGGUGUAAAGGGAGCGUAGGCGGGGCUGCAAGUCAGAAGUGAGAAUCAUAGGCUCAACUUAUGACCUGCUUUUGAAACUGUAGCUCUUGAGUGAAGUAGAGGCAAGCGGAAUUCCCAGUGUAGCGGUGAAAUGCGUAGAUAUUGGGAGGAACACCAGUGGCGAAGGCGGCUUGCUGGGCUUUUACUGACGCUGAGGCUCGAAAGCGUGGGGAGCAAACAGGAUUAGAUACCCUGGUAGUCCACGCCGUAAACGAUGAUAACUAGGUGUGGGGGGAUUGACCCCUUCCGUGCCGCAGUAAACACAAUAAGUUAUCCACCUGGGGAGUACGACCGCAAGGUUGAAACUCAAAGGAAUUGACGGGGGCCCGCACAAGCAGUGGAGUAUGUGGAUUAAUUCGAAGCAACGCGAAGAACCUUACCGGGUCUUGACAUCGAGUGACGGCUGUAGAGAUACAG